CACUACAAAAAAUCAGCGCAGUUCUGGCGCCCAUCUCCCGGCGGCCUGGCCGUCGGUAGAUACUUUCGUCGGCCUGGCCGCCGGAAUCUUACACUUGUCCGCCUGCAUAAUUUUCCCUCGUAAAUGAGAGAAAAUUUCUGGCGGCUAGGCCGACGGAAUAUUUUUUUGUAAAAAAUUCCAGCGGCCUGGCCGCCAGCUCCAAUUCAACAACGGUCGGGAGAAAAAUUCCCGGCGGCCUGGCCGCUGGAUACUAAAACCCUCAACGGUCGGGAGAAAAAUUCCCGGCGGCCUGGCCGCUGGAUACUAAAACCCUCAACGGUCGGGAGAAAAAUUCCCGGCGGCCUGGCCGCUGGAUACUUUUUCCCGCUUGUUUUUUUCAGUAGCCAGCGGCCUGGCCGCCAGAAAUUUUUGGAAAACCCUAAAUUUACAACUUGCGCCGUCGUGUUCCCCCGUACAGUCAAACUCAGUCAAACUAAACUUUAGUGUUUCCCGGCGGCCUGGCCGCCGGAAAUUUUUUAUAUAAGAAAAAAAUUCCAGAAUCGUUUCAUUUUAUUUCCUCCCAAAAUCCUCUUCACUUCUCCCACUCCACUCUAACUAUCCCCAAAUCUCUCCGGCGAUUUUUCAUCAUCCAUCUCCGGUGAUCUUCGAAGUUUCCUCAAG
rnacentral:lncRNA from 1 species